rnacentral:rRNA from 1 species
UACGUAGGGUGCGAGCGUUAAUCGGAAUUACUGGGCGUAAAGCGUGCGCAGGCGGUUCGUUAAGUUCGUUGUGAAAGCCCCGGGCUCAACCUGGGAACUGCAAUGGAAACUGGCGGGCUUGAAUGCGGCAGAGGGGGGUGGAAUUCCGCGUGUAGCAGUGAAAUGCGUAGAGAUGCGGAGGAACACCGAUGGACGAAGGCAGCCCCCUGGGCCGACAUUGACGCUCAGGCACGAAAGCGUGGGGAGCAAACAGG